rnacentral:misc_RNA from 1 species
CAGAGUUGCAAAACUCCAACCAUUGUGAACCUACCUCUAUCGUUGCUUCGGCGGGGGCCUCGGGCCUAACCAGGCCGCCCCCCUUCUGCGGGGGGCCGCGACCCGUCAGGAGGCACCUAAACCUCUUAUUAUUACUGGCCUCUCGUGAGUAUACUUUUACAAUAAGUUCA